rnacentral:rRNA from 1 species
AAAACAUGUCCUUAUGGAAAAAAUAUAAGGUCUGGCCUGCCCACUGAGGAAAUUUAAAGGGCCGCGGUAUACUAACCGUGCUAAGGUAGCAUAGUCAAUAGUCUCUUAAUUGGAGGCUUGAAUGAACGGUCGGACAUAAGGAGAACUGUCUUUAUCUAACGGGGGUGAAUUUAACUUUUGUGUGAAAAGGCAUUAAUACUUUAGGGGGACGAUAAGACCCUAUAAAACUUCAUGUCUAGUCCUAUGCUCGCGAUUUAAGUGUAAGGAGUGCUUAGGGGUGUACAUUGUACUGGGGCGGUUGAAAUAGAAGAAGUAACUGUUUUUAGUUGAAAAUGAUUAUAAUCAGAGAUUGACCCUGAAAUUUAGGUUAGAAGAUCAAGUUACUUUAGGGAUAACAGCGUUAUUUUCCUUGAGAGUCCAUAUCGACAGGGAUGUUUGCGACCUCGAUGUUGAAUUAAAGUUUUUCCUAGGAGCAGAGGCUUAGGUAAAUAGGUCUGUUCGACCUUUAAAACUUUACAUGAUUUGAGUUCAAACCGGUGUGAGC